CUUUGACAAUAGAACAAAUAAUGUUCAAACUUAUAAUUACAAUUAAUUAUACGGAUUUCGACUACUGAGGGACUACUAGUCAUUAUGAAAAGAUCAAUUGUAAAUACGAAAUAUGAAGUAAAAGAAGCUUAGUCAACUUAACUUACAUACUAACAAAGGUAUACAGAAAUACUCGUAAGCAUGAAACUACUGCCGUUUUGUGUACGUUCAACAUUCAACCUACAAGGCAUUCUGAUAGAUUUUAAUUGCUUAGAUGCAUGGACGAAGCUCACAAGUAAAGGCAGACGAUCGGUCGUAAAACGAUAAUCGAAAUCCAAGAAUCUCCCUUCACCAAGAAGAAAAAGAAACGAGGAACAUAUAAUCAAUAUACCUUUUAGAUGCGAAAAUCUUUUGUAAAAAAGAAGCUUUUUGUUAAACAGAUUGAAGUUCACAAACAAAGCUAUCACUAAUUUAUAUCUUUAAUUAUUAAUAAAAUUAUUAUUAUUGGAUAUGACAAUAUUUUGUCCUACACUGUAUUCGAUCGAACUGUUUCUAUAAUGCGAUUUGUCUUGUCUACUUAAGUUCAAUAAACAUAUUUUAAAUAAUA